rnacentral:rRNA from 1 species
AUGUUGCGCACGGUGAGGCGGUGCAGCUCCUGCCCCGCCCACACGGGGCAGAUGAGCACGCAGACGGAGAGGCACAUGAAGACGCCGAUGCCGAUGGUGCACACCCGCUGCUGCGCCAUCGCCAGGAGCGCCUCCACGCGGUACCCCGACACGGCCACCAGGCUGUACGUCAGGAUGAAGAUGGUCACGCCGUAG